GCGCCCUUAGCUCAGCUGGAUAGAGCACCGGCCUUCUAAGCCGGGGGUCACACGUUCAAGUCGUGUAGGGCGCACCA
rnacentral:tRNA from 1 species